AGGAGGUCCUAAGUUUAAAACCAGCUAGACUACCUAGUAACGAUUAGCCUGUUUUUGAAAAAGAAGAAGAAACUAAAAUACCUGUCUGAAAAGAAAAGAAGAAGAAGAGGGGGAAACAGAAAUGAGUUGCUGAGGAAACACAGAGGACCUAGAAUAAUUGAAACAUCUGAAAAAGAUAACACUGCUCAGUGUCCAGUGCCUGUGGGUUAAACCACUGAGCCAGUGCGCAGCUGAGUCUCACUGUCUAGAUGGAGGUGUUUCUGAGCUGUAGGCUCAUAGGUAAUGUCUGAAGUGAUAAACUCCUCUUUGCUUGAGAACAUUUGGAAUUGGGCUCCUGAUAUUCUUGGUUGUAUGACAGCAGAACAUACCAAGCCCCAGAUGCGGUGGCCCAGGCCUGUGGUCCUGGCAUUCUGGAAGCUGAGGCAGGAUUGUGCACGUGUAAGGCUAGCCCAGUCUACCCAGCAAGACCCCAGCUCGAAAAGCAAAUAAAGCUAUAGCUAAAAAACUACGGUCUGGGCUUUGGCGGCGUGAACACUUUCUGUGGCCCUCAGACAGGACAGGACAGGUCAGGACAGAUUGGGAGGUCCUGCUGGGACCUGGGGACAAGAGACUAAUGCCAAGAAAGGAUCUGGGUUGAUGCAGCGGGGGAGGGGUAGAGAGAUUCAGUAGCAUAUUUGCCCGUUAGAACCACUGUUUGGAUUCCGUUUGUGGAACUUGUGUAACCCUGUAUGGAAUACCCUCCCCACCCCACCCCCAAAAAGUGUGUGAGUCCCCUGUGACUGACGGUGAUAACAGAGCCGUUUGAAACGUUUACACUUUUCAUUUUUAACAGUUGGUCGGGAGAAAAGCCAUGACAGCCACGCAAGUCAGGAAGGUGUAGAGACGGACUGGGCAGCUCAGGUACUCCUUGGAGAAUGCAUAGAGUAUGCUUACGGCUUUGUAUCUACAAAGCGUGCUGGGGUCCCAUGGCGAACAUGAAGUAUUUUCCCUCGUCUCCAUGAUAUCACAGCGUGUGAUGGGCAAGACAGCUAAAGUAGUGUUGAUCGGUUCAGCCUCCAAUUAAGUUCUAAAGUUUGAACUCAGUGCCUUUUCAAGUGAAGGAGGCACGAGCCAUUGUGCACCAGACCUUGUCCCCUGUAGGACCUCUGGCACUGGCUGUUUGCACCAGAGCGCCUAGGCUCCUGUGUCUCACACAGCGCUGGCUCAGCCAGCGCUCCCCUGCUCCCUCGCCCACCCACCCCUGCCCACAUGCUGCCAGCACAGCCUCUCCCUAAGUCUUACUCAUCCUAGACCACCAUCUGCAUGAUGUCUCACUCGUCCUGCCUCCUGUCUCCUUCGUUGCUCCUCUGUGCUUUCUCUUCUCGCUGCCUCCUGCAUCUGUCUGCAUCUCGCUGCAUCUGUCUGCAGGGCUAAGCAGAGAGGCCCCUCAUGUGUGUCCAGAAUCUCCCAUCAGUUCACUUUCCACAGUUUGCCUUCACUGGUCGCAGCUCCAAGGACUUGCCUAUAGCCCCUCGGUUAAGGGGUCUUCUUUCUGACACGGCGGUGUCAUAGGUCAUUAUACAUUUUGUGUGUUUUAAAACGUUGGUUUGCACCAUGACGGACAUAAAAAUUCAGGGUAGAAUUUUACCUGAGUUUCUAAUGGGUUCAAGACAAAGCACUUUGAGGGUGCCAGCUGUGGUGGUGCACACCCCAAAUCUCAGCACUUGGUAGGCUGAGGCAAGGGGGUGACGAAUGUGAAACUACCAUGGCCUUCAGUGAAUGCACUCUUACAGGUGUGGUGAGCAGUGGCCGCCCGUAUGGGGACUGUGAGGUCUGCCAUCUCCCACUGGUCUAGGCAGGAAAAUGGAAAAGCUUGCCUUUGCCACGUUGACUUUCCAGGUUCCAGUGACAGCUCUGGAAACAGUCCUGGUGUGGUACACUAAGCCCACUGCUGCUGUUCAUGAUUACAGGCAGACAGACCCACAGACCAAAACUCUGAAACACAGGCUUCCGUGUGUGGCUCGGCAGGUGCUUGAGUUUCCACAAAGCAUGCGUAAACCAGACAUCUGCACACAGAGCAGCCGUUCACACGGGUUUCUUCUGUGUCACAUGAUGGGUUUCGAACCAUGGGGUUUCUCUAGGUUACACCACAAAGGUUUACUCUGUUGGUUGGAGACGCUGAGUGGAAAGGAAAACCAUUGGGGUUAAGCAGUGUAGGUCUGAAAGCCCCGCUGGCCACCAGUGAAUGUCUCGUGGCGCAUUGCCUGUGGACAGCUAAGGUGUUUUGGUGUUUCCGAGUGCUGGUUCUAGCACGGCAGCCUUCCUGAGAGAUGAGUGGGUGCUCAGCCCAGACACCCCUUCCUGGCCACAUUCUUUACAGAUGUAGUUAGUUAAAUCCCCAGGUGUGCUGCCUGGUGUUCAUAACCCAGCACCUGGGGGGCUAAGGCCGAAGGACUGCCAUGAGGGCAAGGCCAGCCUGGGCUACAUAAUGAGAUCCUGUCUCAAAACAUGUACAUAUGUGCACAUGCGCGCACACAGUCUAAAUCCUGCUAAAGUGAGAUUCCUAAACUUCAGAAAGAGAAUGGAAAAGAAAAGGAAUGUUUUAUUUCUUAGACUCAAUAUUAGAAACUUCCAAGUCAAAUAACUUUUCUGAGUACAUUUUUUUUUCCAGCUGUGUGACACAUUUAACACCUGGUAUUGC
rnacentral:lncRNA from 1 species